ACGGCUCAGUAACACGUGGAUAACCUACCCUAAGGUGGGAGAUAACCCCGGGAAACUGGGGAUAAUACCCCAUAGUCUAUGGAAGCUGGAAUGCUCUGUAGUCAAAAGAUUUAUCGCCUUAGGAUGGGUCUGCGGCCGAUUAGGUAGUUGUUGGGGUAAAGGCCCAACAAGCCUUUGAUCGGUACGGGUUGUGGGAGCAAGAGCCCGGAGAUGGAUUCUGAGACACGAAUCCAGGCCCUACGGGGCGCAGCAGGCGCGAAAACUUUACAAUGCGGGAAACCGUGAUAAGGGAACUCCGAGUGCCCGUAAACGCGGGCUGUCCAUCUGCUUAAAAAACAGGUGAAGAAAGGGCCGGGCAAGACCGGUGCCAGCCGCCGCGGUAAUACCGGCGGCUCGAGUGGUGGCCACUAUUACUGGGCUUAAAGCGUCCGUAGCUUGGUUGUUAAGUCUCUUGGGAAAUCUGUCGGCUUAACCGACAGGCGUUUAAGGGAUACUGGCAACCUAGGGACCGGGAGAGGUGAGAGGUACUUCAGGGGUAGGAGUGAAAUCCUGUAAUCCUUGGGGGACCACCUGUGGCGUAGGCGUCUCACCAGAACGGCUCCGACAGUGAGGGACGAAAGCUGGGGGAGCAAACCGGAUUAGAUACCCGGGUAGUCCCAGCCGUAAACGAUGCGCGUUAGGUGUAUCGGUGACCACGAGUCACCGAGGUGCCGAAGGGAAACCGUGAAACGUGCCGCCUGGGAAGUACGGUCGCAAGGCUGAAACUUAAAGGAAUUGGCGGGGGAGCAC
rnacentral:rRNA from 1 species